rnacentral:rRNA from 1 species
UACGGAGGGUGCGAGCGUUGUUCGGAAUUACUGGGCGUAAAGCGCGUGCAGGCGGCCGACUAAGUCCGGUGUGAAAGCCCGGGGCUCACCCCCGGAAGUGCGCUGGAAACUGGUUGGCUAGAGUACGGGAGAGGGAAGUGGAAUUCCUGGUGUAGCGGUGAAAUGCGUAGAUAUCAGGAGGAACACCGGCGGCGAAGGCGGCUUCCUGGACCGAUACUGACGCUGAGACGCGAAAGCGUGGGGAGCAAACAGG